rnacentral:rRNA from 1 species
CCAGACUCCUACGGGAGGCAGCAGUGGGGAAUAUUGCACAAUGGGGGAAACCCUGAUGCAGCGACGCCGCGUGAGCGAAGAAGUAUUUCGGUAUGUAAAGCUCUAUCAGCAGGGAAGAAAAUGACGGUACCUGAGUAAGAAGCUCCGGCUAAAUACGUGCCAGCAGCCGCGGUAAUACGUAUGGAGCAAGCGUUAUCCGGAUUUACUGGGUGUAAAGGGAGCGCAGGCGGUCUGGCAAGUCUGAUGUGAAAUACCGGGGCUCAACUCCGGGACUGCAUUGGAAACUGUCAGACUGGAGUGUCGGAGAGGCAGGCGGAAUUCCUGGUGUAGCGGUGAAAUGCGUAGAUAUCAGGAGGAACACCAGUGGCGAAGGCGACUUUCUGGACUGUACCUGACGCUGAGGCGCGAAAGCAUGGGGAGCGAACAGGAUUAGAUACCCUUGUAU